AUCGUCUAGAAUCAAAAUGGGAAAACUACUACUUGUUCUGACUCUUCUCGUCUGUCUGGUUGCGCUGUCAUCCGGUCUUCCCAGUGGUGGGUGCCAUUAUGGACUUAAAACAUGUCAUCACUGGAAACAUUGUUGCGAUGGAUAUAAGUGUGAUUACAAAUACCGCCAUUGGGGUUGCUGUGUAAUGAUGAAUGGUGAUGUUUAUAAAGGUGGUUAAAACUGAGACGAUGGCGCCAGAUGAUCGCGAAAUGACAAUGCAACAUACAUCUUUCCUUGAUUUAACGUUGAAUUUGUGAUUUGAGUCAUUAUCCUGCAUAAAAAUAAAUUCUUGUAUGCAACCUC